rnacentral:rRNA from 1 species
UACAGAGGGGGCAAGCGUUGUUCGGAAUUACUGGGCGUAAAGGGCGCGUAGGCGGCCUGCUAAGUCGAACGUGAAAUCCCCGAGCUCAACUCGGGAACUGCGUCCGAUACUGGCAGGCUUGAAUCCGGGAGAGGGAUGCGGAAUUCCAGGUGUAGCGGUGAAAUGCGUAGAUAUCUGGAGGAACACCGGUGGCGAAGGCGAGUCUCUGGGCCGAUACUGACGCUGAGGAGCGAAAGCGUGGGGAGCGAACAGG